UCUCCAGAGCAAAACAGCUUGGGAGUGUUUGAGCAUGAAGUGGUGCCAGAGAACUUGUAGUUGAACUGGCCUUAACCCCUACUGCGGAGCUACAAGACAUUAGUACUGGGGAGUCCAAAGAUCUAGACACAAGAAGAAGAAAAACUAAAUGAAAAUCAAAAAUAAAGGGAAAACAUGCUUAAUUUUCUAUCAGCUAAUAGCUGAAUGUUACUCAAAACACUCCAUAUAUUGUUAAACAGUUGCUGCAUAAUGCUGAGAUAUCUUUCUUUCAUGUUAUGUUUAUGCUCUGCAUGACUGUACAAAAUCCUCCUCAUGUCCUGCAAGCUUCUCUGAUGUAAGGCUCAUGAGACCCUUCAGUACCACAAUGAGGUGGAUGAUAAUGAUUGAAGAGAAGGGGAGCUGCUGUUGACUAUUGAGGCACUCCAGGAAACAGUGGAACAAGGUCUGACAAGGCGCUCUUGAAAGAAACCCUUUGAAAAUGAUGAAGGAGGAGGAGUGUGGAGAAGACAAAGCAUCAAAACGGCAGAGUUUGAGUUGAGCCGUUAAAAGUUUACAGGCAAAGAAAGUGUUUGUGUGUUUUGAGGGCAUGGAGAAAAGGAUGGACACCAGUAGAUGUCAUUGGACUGGAGAUGGAGGUGAAUGGAGUAGCUGCCCCCAGACUCAGGAGAAACAGAGGAGCCUGGAGAGACUUUGAAUCAGGCCAAGACUUUCAAAG